GGCAUUAGGCGGCGCGAUUCGCCCUUAGGGUUCGAUCAUGGCUCAGAACGUACGCUGGCGGCACGCCUAACACAUGCAAGUCGAACAAAGUAGCAAUACUUAGUGGCAGACGGGUGAGUAACAUGUGGGUAUCUACCCUUUGGCCUGGAAUAACACGAGGAAACUUGUGCUAAUACCGGAUAAGUCUUUACGGAGAAAGCUUUAUGCACCAUUGGAUGAGCCCGCACUUGAUUAGUUUGUUGGUAGGGUAAUGGCCUACCAAGACUAUGAUCAAUAGCUGAUUUGAGAGGAUGAUCAGCCACAUUGGGACUGAGACACGGCCCAAACUCCUACGGGAGGCAGCAGUGGGGAAUCUUGCACAAUGGAGGAAACUCUGAUGCAGCGAUGCCGCGUGAGUGAAGAAGGCCUUUGGGUUGUAAAGCUCUUUCGUCGGGGAAGAAAAUGACUGUACCCGAAUAAGAAGGUCCGGCUAACUUCGUGCCAGCGGCCGCGGUAAUACGAAGGGACCUAGCGUAGUUCGGAAUUACUGGGCUUAAAGAGUUCGUAGGUGGUUGAAAAAGUUGGUGGUGAAAUCCCAGAGCUUAACUCUGGAACUGCCAUCAAAACUUUUCAGCUAGAGUAUGAUAGAGGAAAGCAGAAUUUCUAGUGUAGAGGUGAAAUUCGUAGAUAUUAGAAAGAAUACCAAUUGCGAAGGCAGCUUUCUGGAUCAUUACUGACACUGAGGAACGAAAGCAUGGGUAGCGAAGAGGAUUAGAUACCCUCGUAGUCCAUGCCGUAAACGAUGUGUGUUAGACGUUGGAAAUUUAUUUUCAGUGUCGCAGGGAAACCGAUAAACACACCGCCUGGGGAGUACGACCGCAAGGGUGAAACUCAAAGGAAUUGACGGGGGCCCGCACAAGCGGUGGAGCAUGUGGUUUAAUUCGAUGCAACGCGAAGAACCUUACCAGGGCUUGACAUACUGCAAAUCUUUUUUAAACGAAAGAGUGCCUUCGGGAAUGCAGAUACAGUGGUGCAUGGCUGUCGUCAGCUCGUGUCGUGAGAUGUUGGGGUUAAGUCCCGCAACGAGCGCAACCCUCGUUUUUAGUUACCAA
rnacentral:rRNA from 1 species